rnacentral:rRNA from 1 species
UACGAAGGGGGCUAGCGUUGCUCGGAAUUACUGGGCGUAAAGGGCGCGUAGGCGGACAGUUUAGUCAGAGGUGAAAGCCCAGGGCUCAACCUUGGAAUUGCCUUUGAUACUGGCUGUCUUGAGUUCGGGAGAGGUGAGUGGAAUGCCGAGUGUAGAGGUGAAAUUCGUAGAUAUUCGGCGGAACACCAGUGGCGAAGGCGACUCACUGGCCCGAUACUGACGCUGAGGCGCGAAAGCGUGGAGGACA